UUGAGAGUUUGAUCCUGGCUCAGGAUGAACGCUGGCGGCGUGCUUAACACGUGCAAGUCGAACGGAAAGGCCCUGCUUGCAGGGUGCUCGAGUGGCGAACGGGUGAGUAACACGUGGGUGAUCUGCCCCUGACUUUGGGAUAAGCCUGGGAAACUGGGUCUAAUACCGGAUAUGACCAUGGGAUGCAUGUUCUGUGGUGGAAAGCUUUUGCGGUUGGGGAUGGGCCCGCGGCCUAUCAGCUUGUUGGUGGGGUAAUGGCCUACCAAGGCGACGACGGGUAGCCGACCUGAGAGGGUGAUCGGCCACACUGGGACUGAGACACGGCCCAGACUCCUACGGGAGGCAGCAGUGGGGAAUAUUGCACAAUGGGCGCAAGCCUGAUGCAGCGACGCCGCGUGAGGGAUGACGGCCUUCGGGUUGUAAACCUCUUUCAGCAGGGACGAAGCGCGAGUGACGGUACCUGCAGAAGAAGCACCGGCCAACUACGUGCCAGCAGCCGCGGUAAUACGUAGGGUGCGAGCGUUGUCCGGAAUUACUGGGCGUAAAGAGCUCGUAGGCGGUUUGUCGCGUCGUCUGUGAAAUUCUGCAGCUUAACUGCAGGCGUGCAGGCGAUACGGGCAGACUUGAGUACUACAGGGGAGACUGGAAUUCCUGGUGUAGCGGUGAAAUGCGCAGAUAUCAGGGGAACACCGGUGGCGAAGGCGGGUCUCUGGGUAGUAACUGACGCUGAG
rnacentral:rRNA from 1 species